AGACUUGCUCUUCCUGAAGGACAAUGUAAAGACCGACAUAGAUAGAGGAAAAGAAAGGAGAUUGGAAGAGGACAACAAAUCAAGGCAGCUAGAAGUGGAGAGACAGAGAGAAUUGAAAACUGUGAGACUGAAAGAAGAGGAGAGCAAGAGGAAAGCCAUGAUGGAAAAACUGAAAGAGGACGAAAGGAGGAAGAGAUGGAUGGAAGCAGAAAUGGAGAGAAAGGAACAGGAGGAGAGGCUGAGAGAAAAGGAAAGGGCCAAACUAAGAGAAGAGGAGAGAAAGAAAAAAGAGAUGCAAGAGAAGACAAGGAGAGAGCUGGAGCAGAUAACACAAAGAGAGAGGGAGGAGAAGGGGAAGAAAGCCAAAGUGGCCAAGAAAUUAAUCCAGGCAUGUGACAGCGAUGACAUUGACGUAGAGAGCUUGAGUGAUGAAGAUAUGUGGAAGGAUAAGGAGCUCCCAAUGGACCAAGAGAAAAGGCAGACAAAAGACGAAAAGGAACAUGCAUGGCUACAGGAAAAACACAACAAAGAGAAGGAAAAUGAGAAUCCAAGUGACUCCAAGACUGUGACUAAUUCAAAUAGUUUGUGGAUGCAUAAGGCCAAGAGCCCAAAGCUGUCAGUCAGCAAUGUAUGGACGAUCCAGCAAUAUGAUAAUACAGAGACUGAUCAUGUCAUACAAGGUCAUUCUGAGGUAGGAGAAACACUUGUGAUGACACUCAGUAAUGAUGAUAUGAAUACAUGGACCCAGCUAAAGGCAAAAACAGAUGAAGAGGAUGCAGAGAGAGAGAAACAGAGGCAGAUGGACGAAAAGAGGAUGAGAGAUGUGGACAAUGGAGGAAAGAAAAAAGAGAGAAAACAGGGAGAGAUGGUAGCACAGACAGCAAACAAGCCACCCAAGAUCAGCAGAGACUUAGAAAUCGUCCAAAAGAUAGAGGAGGAAAGAAAGAAAGAAGAGAUGGAGAAAGCAGCACAGAAGGAGCAAAAAGAGGCAGAGAGGAGAAAGAUAGAGAUUGAGGAGGAGAGAAAAGUGAGAGAAAGAGAGGAGAUGAGAAAGAUUGUAGAGGUGAUGAACAGGAGGUGGGAGGCUCUGCCAGGAGACAGCGAUGACCGCAACGGGGCGACUGACUCCGAUGACUUGUGGAUGGAUGAGGUGGAGAAGAGGCGGCAAGUGGAGGUCAUAAACCCCCAAAACAAACCUCAGGAAGAGGGGGAAAGAGGACACACCCUGCCUGGAAGUGCCCAAGUAAACGUAGAGCAGAAAAAGAAAGGACGAUCUGUGUUGAAGUGGCUGAAGAAGAGACUGAGUUUUGGGACCACAAAAGUGAAACAGUGAUAUGGACACACAAAGACACAUAUGGACAAUGAAAGGGAAAGAAAGGAAUCACAGAUUCUCCAUAAAUUUGUCACAUCCUACAUAUCAUCUUCCCAAUAAUAGAAUUAAUCUCAAAAUCUCAGUGGACAAAUACAACGUUUU
ensembl:lncRNA